rnacentral:rRNA from 1 species
AGAAUCAACGCUGGCGGCGUGCCUCAGACAUGCAAGUCGAACGCGAAAUCCCGAGCAAUCGGGAAAGUAGAGUGGCGCACGGGUGAGUAACACGUAGGUAAUCUACCUUCGGGUGGGGAAUAACAACCGGAAACGGUUGCUAAUACCGCAUAAUGCAGCGGCACCUAAUGGUGACAGUUGUUAAAGCGGGGGAUCGCAAGAUCUCGCGCCUGAAGAGGAGCCUGCGGCGGAUUAGCUAGUUGGUAGGGUAAUGGCCUACCAAGGCGACGAUCCGUA